GCCGGGGUAGCUCAGGUGGUAGAGCAGGGGACUGAAAAUCCCCGUGUCGGCGGUUCAGCUCCGUCCCCCGGCACCA
rnacentral:tRNA from 1 species